GUUAAAUUCAAUGUAAGGGUAUAUGGUGGAUGCCUUGGGAGAAGUAGCCGAAGAAGGACGUAGUAGGUUGCGAUAAGCCUCGGGGAGCUGCCAAACAAGCUUUGAUCCGAGGAUGUCCGAAUUGAGAAAUCUUGCCGAUUCAAAGAUCGGCAAUCCCCCGAUGUGAAUCGGGGUAGAAGGGUCCCUGCUGAACUGAAACAUCUUAGUAAGCAGAGGAAAAUAAAUCGUAAGAGAUUCCCUUAGUAGUGGCGAGCGAACAGGGAAAAGCCCAAACCAGCCGAUUUAUCGACUGGGGUUGUGGGACCCAUAUAAUUGAGGCGAAAAGAUAGGAGAACGAAUCUGGAAAGGACGACCAUAGAGCGUGAUAGUCGCGUAUCCGAAAUCUUAGUAACCUCGAGUUGGUGUUCCCGAGUACCACGAGACACGUGAAACCUUGUGGGAAUCUGGGGUGAUCAUACUCCAAGGCUAAAUACUACUUCUCACCGAUAGUGAACUAGUACCGUGAGGGAAAGGUUAAAAGUACCCC
rnacentral:rRNA from 1 species